rnacentral:rRNA from 1 species
AAGGUGGGGAUGACGUCAAAUCAUCAUGCCCCUUAUGACCUGGGCUACACACGUGCUACAAUGGAUGGUACAAAGGGUCGCGAAGCCGCGAGGUGGAGCCAAUCCCAUAAAACCAUUCUCAGUUCGGAUUGUAGGCUGCAACUCGCCUACAUGAAGCCGGAAUCGCUAGUAAUCGUGGAUCAGCAUGCCACGGUGAAUACGUUCCCGGGCCUUGUACACACCGCCCGUCACACCACGAGAGUUUGUAACACCCGAAGUCGGUAGGGUAACCUUUAUGGAGCCAGCCGCCGAAGGUGGGACAGAUAAUUGGGGUGAAGUCGUAACAAGGUAGCCGUAUCGGAAGGUGCGGCUGGAUCACCUCCUUUCUAAGGAA